AAGUGUACAGACAGGAAGUGAACCUCAGUGAGAUGAAGAUGAAGAUGGAAAUCCUGGAGAAUCGGGCCGAGAUUCUCCUCAGAGACAGAAACGACCUCAACUGGACGCUGGGAGUCAUCCUGACCUUUGACCCGUUUCCAGUCAGAGAUUUCUGUCGUGAAAACAAGUGCCAGCUGUGCAGGAGAGGCUGGACUCUGGUCCAGCACAGGUGUUACUAGUUUCAUGAAGACGGCUGGUUUACCCGGCAGGAAGAUCAGCAGUCAUGCCGGGACCGCCAUGCCGGACCGCCAUGCCGGACCGCCAUGCCGGGACCGGGACCAGACCUGGUUGUUAUCGAUAAUCUGCAAGAACAGGAAUUUAUCAGUAAUCGAACAGAUUUCUACUUUGAUCAAAAUCACGGAUACUGGCUGGGACUGAAUCAGACUGGCGGCAGCUGUGUCUGGGUUGAUGGACGUGUUGGUACUCUGGGGUUCUGGAUGCAGAAAACAUUUUUUUUUUCCUGGGAAAAAUGCGCUGCUGGUUCCUAACAGGAAUCCCACAACCAGCUGGGCCAAAGCAGACUCUGAAUUUAAAACAGAUUCAUCUGUGAGGGAAAAGCUCUCACAAGGUCAUAGCAGCUUCAACAUAUCAGGAUUU